rnacentral:rRNA from 1 species
UGGUUCAGGCAUGCAAGUCGCACGAUUCCGCAAGGAAUAGUGGCAGAAGGGUUAGUAACACGUGGGUAAUCUACCCUCGAGACGGGGAUAACAUUUCGAAAGAAAUGCUAAUACCCGAUGAAAUUAUCGGAACAUAAGUUUUGAUAAUCAAAGGUAGCUCGCAAGGGCUGUCACUUGAGGAGGAACCCGCGGCCUAUCAGCUAGUUGGUGAGGUAACGGCUCACCAAGGCAUUUGACGGGUAGCUGGUCUAAGAGGACGGUCAGCAACAUUGGGACUGAGACACUGCCCAGACUCCUACGGGAGGCUGCAGUCGAGGAUCUUUAGCAAUGCCCGCAAGGGUGACUAUGCGACGCCGCGUGGAGGAUGAAGGCCUUCGGGUCGUAAACGCC